CCCUUAGAUGUUCUGGGCUGCACGCGUGUUACAAUCGGGAGUACAACAAGAUUGCAAAUCCUAGUGGAUGAGUGGUUCUUCGAAAUUUUCUGAAGACUGGGAUAGUUGAUUGAAAUUAUUCAACUCAAACGAGGAAUUCCUUGUAAUUGUAAUUCAUUAUAUUGUAAUGAAUACGUCCCCGCCCUUUGUACACACCGCCCGUCGCUCCUACCGAUUGAACGAUCCGGUGAAUUAUUUGGAGUAGCUCUGGAAGUUGCAGAACUUCCUAUGUCACGAAAUUUUGUAAACCUUAUCGUUUAGAGGAAGGAAAAGUCGUAACA
rnacentral:rRNA from 1 species